rnacentral:rRNA from 1 species
CCUACGGGGGGCAGCAGUGGGGAAUAUUGCACAAUGGGGGAAACCCUGAUGCAGCGACGCCGCGUGAGUGAAGAAGUAUUUCGGUAUGUAAAGCUCUAUCAGCAGGAACGAGACAAGACGGUACCUGACUAAGAAGCCCCGGCUAACUACGUGCCAGCAGCCGCGGUAAUACGUAGGGGACAAGCGUUAUCCGGAAUCACGGGGGUUAAAGGGGUCGUAGGCGGCUUAGUAAGCCUGAAGUGAAAGGCGGGGGCCCAACCCCUGGACUGCUUUGGGAACUGUACGGCUGGAGUGCAGGAGAGGUAAGUGGAAUUCCUAGUGUAGCGGUGGAAUGCGUAGAUAUUAGGAGGAACACCAGUGGCGAAGGCGGCUUACUGGACUGUAACUGACGUUGAGGCUCGAAAGCGUGGGGAGCAAACAGGAUUAGAUACCCUGGUAGUC